rnacentral:rRNA from 1 species
UGGGGAAUAUUGCGCAAUGGGGGAAACCCUGACGCAGCAACGCCGCGUGAAGGAUGAAGGUUUUCGGAUUGUAAACUUCUUUAGUCGGGGACGAAGAAAUGACGGUACCCGAAGAAUAAGCCACGGCUAACUACGUGCCAGCAGCCGCGGUAAUACGUAGGUGGCGAGCGUUGUCCGGAAUUACUGGGUGUAAAGGGCGUGUAGGCGGGAUUGUAAGUCAGAUGUGAAAUUCUGAGGCUUAACCUCAGAGCUGCAACUGAAACUAUGAUUCUUGAGUGCUGGAGAGGAAAGCGGGAUUCCUAGUGUAGCGGUGAAAUGCGUAGAUAUUAGGAGGAACACCAGUGGCGAAGGCGGCUUUCUGGACAGUAACUGACGCUGAGGCGCGAAAGCGUGGGGAGCAAACAGGAUUAGAUACCCUGGUAGUCCACGCUGUAAACGAUGGAUACUAGGUGUAGGAGGUAUCGACCCUUCUGUGCCGGAGUUAAUAC